AUUUGGAGUCUCUGGACACUACUUGGGAGAUGUGGAAGGCAGUGAAAAAUACAACUAUGUUGCUGCUAGGUAUUUAAAGAGCUGUAAGUCAAAUUCAUAAUUUAUUGCUGCAAUAUAUAAAUUUGCUGCUCAUGUUUUUACAGUGGAACUUUCCUUUACAAAUAUUCCAGAAGGUGGAAAAGGUGUGUUUAUCUGCCCUCUGCUGGAAACACACAGUAAAAAUCCAGCACUGCCAGCACUCACCUGCAGAGCAGAAAUGGUUCCCUCUCCACACACAGAAGAGAAGCUUCAUCGUGGAUUCAGCAGACAGAACAUGGGAGGUGGAUUUUUUUUAAUGUACCUAGUCAAAAUAAAAUUUGUCUUAUUUGUCCAGUAUCAGUUUUACUCUGGGGUCCUAUCUAAUCCCACUUAAACCACAGUAAAUAUAUCUUUAUGGAAAUGAGGGGAACUAUACUAUUACAAAACUGUCCAAAAGAAAUCUGAAUUAUAUCGUUAGAAAUGUACCUGGUAAAACAUGGAUUGCUAUGUUCAGAGAUGGACACAUUUUACAUAUACUAUGUGCAUGUCUGUGGAAACAAACUACUGAUCCAAGGGGAUGAAAUCCUAAAUGAACUGAAAUU